UUGACCUCAAAUCGGGUGAGACUACCCGCUGAACUUAAGCAUAUCAAUAAGCGGAGGAAAAGAAACUAACAAGGAUUCCCCUAGUAACUGCGAGUGAAGCGGGAAAAGCUCAMAUUUAAAAUCUGGUGGCCUUUGGUCAUCCGAGUUGUAAUUUAGAGAAGCGUCUUCCGCGCUGGACCGUGCACAAGUCUCCUGGAAUGGAGCGUCAUAGAGGGUGAGAAUCCCGUCUUUGGCACGGAUCCCGGUGCUUCUGUGAUGCGCUCUCGAAGAGUCGAGUUGUUUGGGAAUGCAGCUCAAAAUGGGUGGUGAACUCCAUCUAAAGCUAAAUAUUGGCGAGAGACCGAUAGCGAACAAGUACCGUGAGGGAAAGAUGAAAAGCACUUUGGAAAGAGAGUGAAACAGUACGUGAAAUUGUUGAAAGGGAAACGCUUGAAGUCAGUCGCGUCGUCCGAGACUCAGCCURGCCUCGGCUUGGUGUACUUCUCGACCGACGGGUCAGCAUCAAUUUCACCCCUUGGAUAAUGGCGAGGGAAAUGUGGCACCUUUGCGGGUGCGUUAUAGUCCCUCGUCGCAUGCAAGGGUCGGGAUUGAGGAACUCAGCACGCGCCUUUUGGUGUCGGGGCUUUUGCCCACGAUACGUGCUUAGGAUGUUGGCAUAAUGGCUUUAAACGACCCGUC
rnacentral:rRNA from 2 species